GACGAACGCUGGCGGCGUGCUUAACACUUGCAAGUCGAACGGAAAGGCCCUGCUUUUGUGGGGUGCUCGAGUGGCGAGCGGGUGAGUAACACGUGAGUAACCUGCCCUUGACUUUGGGAUAACUUCAGGAAACUGGGGCUAAUACCGGAUAGGAGCUCCUGCUGCAUGGUGGGGGUUGGAAAGUUUCGGCGGUUGGGGAUGGACUCGCGGCUUAUCAGCUUGUUGGUGGGGUAGUGGCUUACCAAGGCUUUGACGGGUAGCCGGCCUGAGAGGGUGACCGGCCACAUUGGGACUGAGAUACGGCCCAGACUCCUACGGGAGGCAGCAGUGGGGAAUAUUGCACAAUGGGCGGAAGCCUGAUGCAGCAACGCCGCGUGCGGGAUGACGGCCUUCGGGUUGUAAACCGCUUUCGCCUGUGACGAAGCGUGAGUGACGGUAAUGGGUAAAGAAGCACCGGCUAACUACGUG
rnacentral:rRNA from 1 species